UGUUUUGAAUUCGUUUAAAAAAAAAGAACAUAUUAAAACAUUUUUUUAUUACAGUAUGAAGACGAGCUGGAAGGUCUCUGCGAAAUGCCAAUAGCGGAGAAGAAAUAUUAGUCGUCAACUUCGUUGAGUUCCCAAAAAAGCUCGCAAAGCAUUUUAGAUAAAUUUUUUCAGUUUCAGUAUUAACACGAACAAAUAUUUUCGAAUGCGCUGUCCUUAAUGGCUCAACAACGUUUUUAAAUGAAAAAUCAUUAGUUAUAUUAAUUGAUGCAAAUUGAGGCAAUUUUAUUCGCUUUUAAUUAAAUAAACAAAAAUAUGAACAUGGAAAUGCAAAUGAUGAAAUGCCCGUUUAUAUGUAUGAAUACUCUUUAUGUGUGAUAAUCAAUGUAAAGAGUGAUCAUAUAUACAUAUAUGCGUACGCAUUGUUUUAGCACGCGCAUUAAGGGACAUACAUAUGGUAUUAUUAUUAUAAUUUUCCAAAAAUAAAAGUUUAGCUUCUUUAAUAGGCCAAAACUCUUGAAUGAAAUGUCAACACCCGACACGAUCAGAUGAUACACUUCUGUGCUGGGAUACCCGUAAGUAAGUAUCAAUCGGCUUAUUUACAAAAACACAUCAUUUUCUCACUUACACUUUGGAGAUGACCACGUCACGCAGGAUUACAGAAGCUCUGCUGGAUUGUGUACGACAGCCACGCAAAGUGCAGCAGCGACCUAAGGUGAUGACGAACAUAGUAAAUGUUUUAGUUACAUAUUUGUGGUUACAUAUUUGUGGUAAAAAUAGAUGCGUCUGAGCGUCCAGCUAAAUUAAUUCCAUAUUGGCGUCCAGACAAAUGAGUACGAGUAAGUCAUGAUUAAAUUAUUAACCUCACGAAUCUCCUGUACACUCUGCAGAAAUUGUGGCAAUGGUUUUGUUUAAAUCUAAGAGCUGGUGCGGCACAUGAAUAAACAGAUGAAUCGACCUUAUGCCCCGCUUCCUUCACCGAUCGUUGAACUACGAGCAAGCAUCAUUAGUAGUAUUGUUGUUAUUAUAUUGUUAACACCCAUAAAAUGCGAUUGCAUCAUGUGUCGCAUAAGAAACGUGAAACUUGUUGACUUGGACAUGCAAACGCAAAAACCUAUUAAAAAUGAAAUGGUUAUCGCGUUGAAUGAGUUAAAAUUGAUUAUGUAAGAUUAUAUUAGUAACAUUUAAUCAAAUAACUUUGCCUGGUUAAAACCGAUUUAUAAACGCUGAUCAAUUUAUAAAUUUUUUUUAAUCAGACUUUAAAUUAUAUUACUAAUGUAAAGCAUAAAUAUAUUUAAUAUAUAAAUUAUGAGUCUUUCUUGAGUGUAUUGAUUAAGUGAUAUUUAUUUGUUGCACGUUUGGCAAUUAUGUUUUACGCUGACGACUUAAUUAUGAGUCUUUUGAGUGUAUUGAUUAAGUGAUAUUUAUUUAUUGCCCGUUUGGCAAUUAUGUUUUACGCUGAUGACUUGGUGCCGGAGUACUGACGUGUUGAGCUAACGACGUUUAUUUCAGAACUAAAAACAUGCGAUACAAUUCUUAGGGCUUAAAGCUAACCGAAUAUGAUUCUUAAAUUAUUUCCUCGUUCAUAGCGGCCACGUAAAUAUGGUGUGUCUGCCGGCUAUGCAACGACAUCCGGCCCAAUGCUUAUUCAGCAAUUGUGGUCGGAGUCAUAUUCAGGUCAACCGUUCGCUGACUCCGCUUAACUACUCCCCCUUUAAGACCAAGGCCGCCCUCGGCCGACCCUAUUUCUGCGAUCACUUCUCUUAACUGUAGCGCAGACUUUCUGGCGCUGGUGAUUCGCCAAAACGGAAGACCGAUGCCAAUGAGCAAAACACAUACCACUCCCACGAUGUAUAUUAUCUGGUAUACGGCUUUGCUACCGGUACCUCUUUGAAUUUCUGGAUCUCCUCCAGGUUACUUUCACUCAGUCGGUGAAGGUACGGAAGACUGAGGAUAUCCCGGCUGGCCGUGAUAUUUAGUAAGGGGGUGUUAGCAGUACCUGGGACCUUAUUCUGCACGUUGUUAUGGUUAAUGAAUAAAGUUCCGUUCACCGCAGCGCGGUCGAUGAAGGUGAUGAGAUGCAUGCCAUGUACCCAGAUUUCGGUGCCGUUGUCCACUUGCACUUUCGCUGGCCUGUCAUUUACGAUGAGAAUUCCGUCAUCUACGAAAGUGAUAGCGACUAAAUUGCUUGGUUGGAUUUCGCAAUUCGCUAUCCCGCCUACGUAAAGCUCUCUGGCGCAUGAACUCCCGGAUGCUAGAUGACAAAAUGUGGCCCCCGGAGAGGCGGUGCAAUUUUCGAGAGCAUGCGUUUCCCCAUCGCAAUCUGCCACGACGUUAUUCAUCAUGCGUAGUAUGAAAUUCUCAUGUGUGACCGGGAAAAUAGCGAACUUUUUGCAAGCAAAUUUAAUUUUCGGAAAUUUAAUAAUAAACUAAAGGAUGUUAACGGACUGUAAAACUUUCACGGACGCAACGGCCAUAAGAUCCCCUAUGGGAGUGGGUUCCUCCAGCCAAACUGAUGCCAAAUCUGAAUGAUCGAGAAUGUUUGGGCUAACAAUGUUAACCUUUGCAAGAGGUGUUGCCAGCAUUAGAUUUUGCAACUCCAUCAUUAACAUUCGAUUCCUGGCUAGUAAUGUCUCAUAUAAAUGGCCAGUAUCGGCUUGAGUGUCCUUAGCUGUUCCGAGAAUUUGACGGACUGUAGAAGUAAGUUGAUUAAUUUGUACCUGGAUUCUUGUGUUAAUUUCUAUUUGCUUAUUGUUUGAAUUAAUUAAUUGUGCCUCAAUGAACCGAGUUUUUUCUAAAUCGCCGGCAUCCGGUGUGCCUGCCACAACCUUCAACAUGGAACCUAAGAAGUCUUAGCUCCUGGCCACUGUGUGGUGCGCGCCCAACGCCUCUAGCAAAUCUCGGAGGUGAUCUGCAUCCACGCUCAGAAGCUUUUUCAUUUGCGACUGUGGGAACAUGACAUUCAAUUGGACCGUUUCUUCUACUCUACGCAUGUAUUCUGAGAGAUUCGCUGAAUGUUUAACGUAGGCGUAUUCUUCCCAUACUAGGACACGGCCAUCGACAAUGGGAAUGUAUUUGGACUGAGAAUAGUCCGUGAUGCGUGCCGAAGUCAAGGAUAGGAAGAAGGGAAGGACAAAUCCAAACCACAAAUGAUGCCAUUUCAAAAUUUGUCAACAUUUAUACGGAAGCAACAGGCCAGGCAGAGUAUGAAGACGAGCUGGAAGGUCUCUGCGAAAUGCCAAUAGCGGAGAAGAAAUAUUAGUCGUCAACUUCGUUGAGUUCCCAAAAAAGCUCGCAAAGCAUUUUAGAUAAAUUUUUUCAGUUUCAGUAUUAACACGAACAAAUAUUUUCGAAUGCGCUGUCCUUAAUGGCUCAACAACGUUUUUAAAUGAAAAAUCAUUAGUUAUAUUAAUUGAUGCAAAUUGAGGCAAUUUUAUUCGCUUUUAAUUAAAUAAACAAAAAUAUGAACAUGGAAAUACAAAUGAUGAAAUAAUGACCACGUCACGCAAGAUUACAGAAGCUCUGCUGGAUUGUGUACGACAGCCACGCAAAGUGCAGCAGCGACCUAAGGUGAUGACGAACAUAAUAAAUGUUUUAGUUACAUAUUUGUGGUUACAUAUUUGUGGUAAAAAUAGAUGCGUCUGAGCGUCCAGCUAAAUUAAUUCCACAUUGGCGUCCAGACAAAUGAGAACGAGUAAGUCAUGAUUAAAUUAUUAACCUCACGAAUCUCCUGUACACUCUGCAGAAAUUGUGGCAAUGGUUUUCUUUAAAUCUAAGAGCUGGUGCGGCACAUGAAUAAACAGAUGAAUCGACCUUAUGCCCCGCUUCCUUCACCGAUCGUUGAACUACGAGCAAGCAUCAUUAGUAGUAUUGUUGUUAUUAUAUUGUUAACACCCAUAAAAUGCGAUUGCAUCAUGUGUCGCAUAAGAAACGUGAAACUUGUUGACUUGGACAUGCAAACGCAAAAACCUAUUAAAAAUGAAAUGGUUAUCGUGUUGAAUGAGUUAAAAUUGAUUAUGUAAGAUUAUAUUAGUAACAUUUAAUCAAAUAACUUUGCCUGGUUAAAACCGAUUUAUAAACGCUGAUCAAUUUAUACAUUUUUUUUAAUCAGACUUUAAAUUAUAUUACUAAUGUAAAGCAUAAAUAUAUUUAAUAUAUAAAUUAUGAGUCUUUCUUGAGUGUAUUGAUUAAGUGAUAUUUAUUUGUUGCACGUUUGGCAAUUAUGUUUUACGCUGACGACUUAAUUAUGAGUCUUUUGAGUGUAUUGAUUAAGUGAUAUUUAUUUAUUGCCCGUUUGGCAAUUAUGUUUUACGCUGAUGACUUGGUGCCGGAGUACUGACGUGUUGAGCUAACGACGUUUAUUUCAGAACUAAAAACAUGCGAUACAAUUCUUAGGGCUUAAAGCUAACCGAAUAUGAUUCUUAAAUUAUUUCCUCGUUCAUAGCGGCCACGUAAAUAUGGUGUGUCUGCCGGCUAUGCAACGACAUCCGGCCCAAUGCUUAUUCAGCAAUUGUGGUCGGAGUCAUAUUCAGGUCAACCGUUCGCUGACUCCGCUUAACUACUCCCCCUUUAAGACCAAGGCCGCCCUCGGCCGACCCUAUUUCUGCGAUCACUUCUCUUAACUGUAGCGCAGACUUUCUGGCGCUGGUGAUUCGCCAAAACGGAAGACCGAUGCCAAUGAGCAAAACACAUACCACUCCCACGAUGUAUAUUAUCUGGUAUACGGCUUUGCUACCGGUACCUCUUUGAAUUUCUGGAUCUCCUCCAGGUUACCUUCACUCAGUCGGUGAAGGUACGGAAGACUGAGGAUAUCCCGGCUGGCCGUGAUAUUUAGUAAGGGGGUGUUAGCAGUACCUGGGACCUUAUUCUGCACGUUGUUAUGGUUAAUGAAUAAAGUUCCGUUCACCGCAGCGUGGUCGAUGAAGGUGAUGAGAUGCGUGCCAUGUACCCAGAUUUCGGUGCCGUUGUCCACUUGCACUUUCGCUGGCCUGUCAUUUACGAUGAGAAUUCCGUCAUCUACGAAAGUGAUAGCGACUAAAUUGCUUGGUUGGAUUUCGCAAUUCGCUAUCCCGCCUACGUAAAGCUCUCUGGCGCAUGAACUCCCGGAUGCUAGAUGACAAAAUGUGGCCCCCGGAGAGGCGGUGCAAUUUUCGAGAGCAUGCGUUUCCCCAUCGCAAUCUGCCACGACGUUAUUCAUCAUGCGUAGUAUGAAAUUCUCAUGUGUGACCGGGAAAAUAGCGAACUUUUUGCAAGCAAAUUUAAUUUUCGGAAAUUUAAUAAUAAACUAAAGGAUGUUAACGGACUGUAAAACUUUCACGGACGCAACGGACAUAAGAUCCCCUAUGGGAGUGGGUUCCUCCAGCCAAACUGAUGCCAAAUCUGAAUGAUCGAGAAUGUUUGGGCUAACAAUGUUAACCUUUGCAAGAGGUGUUGCCAGCAUUAGAUUUUGCAACUCCAUCAUUAACAUUCGAUUCCUGGCUAGUAAUGUCUCAUAUAAAUGGCCAGUAUCGGCUUGAGUGUCCUUAGCUGUUCCGAGAAUUUGACUGACUGUAGAAGUAAGUUGAUUAAUUUGUACCUGGAUUCUUGUGUUAAUUUCUAUUUGCUUAUUGUUUGAAUUAAUUAAUUGUGCCUCAAUGAACCGAGUUUUUUCUAAAUCGCCGGCAUCCGGUGUGCCUGCCACAACCUUCAACAUGGAACCUAAGAAGUCUUAGCUCCUGGCCACUGUGUGGUGCGCGCCCAACGCCUCUAGCAAAUCUCGGAGGUGAUCUGCAUCCACGCUCAGAAGCUUUUUCAUUUGCGACUGUGGGAACAUGACAUUCAAUUGGACCGUUUCUUCUACUCUACGCAUGUAUUCUGAGAGAUUCGCUGAAUGUUUAACGUAGGCGUAUUCUUCCCAUACUAGGACACGGCCAUCGACAAUGGGAAUGUAUUUGGACUGAGAAUAGUCCGUGAUGCGUGCCGAAGUCAAGGAUAGGAAGAAGGGAAGGACAAAUCCAAACCACAAAUGAUGCCAUUUCAAAAUUUGUCAACAUUUAUACGGAAGCAACAGGCCAGGCAGAGGUAAUUAUCAGAACAACGGUCCCAGAAACAAUAACCAAAGUUAUAACAUAAAUUAUAAUAGGGCAGAAGGCCAAAAUAGAGGAAACUCUAAAGGCCGUGGCAACUCGAAUCGAGGCCACAACAAUAAUGUCCGAGUUACUCAGACUAACUCGGAAAACCAACAAAACCCUUAAGAUAUGCAACAAGACACACCAAAGUACGCACAGUCAAUCUAAACCUCAGUAUCGUACUAAAAUAGAGUAACAGGAUAACAGAUCUGGAAAUAAACAAUAUUUAAAAAAAAAUAAACAAAAAAAAUGAGUAUCUUCAUUAAGAUAAAUAACGAAAAAACAGGUAAUGCAUUUACCCUAUUGUUAGAUACUGGUGCAGACAUAUCACUAUUAAAGGAACAUGUUGAUGCACUUGAAAACAUUAAUUUAAACAUAUCAACUCAUAUAUCUGGCAUCGGGGAAGGCUCAGUUUUUUCUAAAGGUUUAGCAUUCGUAGAAUUAUCUACCGGAAAAUAUGUCAUUCCACACGACUGUCCGACUAUCGGACACGAUUUCCAAAUACCCAGAGAUGGCAAUAUUGGUAUAGACUUCUUUAAAAAGUAUAAUUGCCAAUUUGAUUUCACACAAACAUGUGAUUCUCUAAUACUUCGGCCAAAUAAUUUAAAUUAUCCAAUAAAACUACCAACAACUCAUACUUGUGAUACUGAUGCCACAAUACUUCCAGCUCGUUCUGAAGUAGUCCGUCAAAUCAAUAUUGUUCUGACAGAAAACAA